UAUGCUAUGCAAUAUUUUGUCCUAGAACCUUUGCCCUCUAAACUACCCAAAAAGGACAAUAAUUGAGCUUGGUGAUCUACGAGCACAAGUGGUACAGGUCAGGGUUAAACUCAGCUUGCUAGAGCCUACUAAAUUUUAGGCACCAGUUCUCAAUCGAAUUUUAGCAAAAUCAAGGAUCCAAGAAUUGGCAUCUGUAACAUGGUUUGCAUUCUGAGCCAAUCUGGGCUCGGAUUUGAAACAAAUGUUGUAUGCUGUUUGGACUGUCACUUUGCCUAUCUAUAUUAAUUAGAAUAGGCCUUUUUUUCCUUUGUGAGAUAAAGCGAGUUCAAAAAAAGAAAAAGAGCAGAAAUUUGAAAAAAAGAAGAUAAAAAAGAAAAUGCUUUACUUUCUGUUUUUAAGUAGCUUUUUUUCGCUUUUCUUCACCUAUAUUGGCGCUAUAAAGUUUUUUUGAUUAAGGUUUGGUUAACAAACACUUAUUUCAUCCUUACUGGCGCUAUAAAGCUAUUGCUGUUUUUUCUGGGGGAGGAUCUCAAGCAGUAAGAUCUCAGCAGAGGUGAUCCGAGCUUUGUCUGCUCUUUGUCCUGUUCUUGCAUUCUUCGUAGCAGACUCCGAUGUUCAUAGCUUUCCUGGAGCUUACCUCCAGUUUAGACAGAUUAUUGUUUUCAGUUUAUCUUUCUGUGUGAUGUUAUGUUAGGUUUUCAUGUGAUGGCAGAACAAACUCAUGUUCUGAUUAAUUAUAUCAGCUCCUUCAAAAAAAUAAAAUAAUAAAGCUAUUGCUGUUGGUAGCUUUUGCUGGGUUGAUCUCUUUGGUUUAUCUCUAUCUUUCUGGACCUCGUUAUGGCCGUUUGAUUGGAAUUGAUAAUGCUACAAGCACUUUUACAAAUUUGACAGCAGCAAGGGUGUUAAUCUGCACAACUCGGAAGGAGAAUAUUCUUUCCGACGAGAAUAGUAUUGACCAUGUUUUUGUUUCAUUGUCUGGGAAAGUACUUAGGGAGUUGCCAGCCCUAGAGGAUAUUCAACACAAUAUGCAGCCUUUUGAAGGUGUCAAAGAUGAUGGUGAUUCAGUAAUGUUAUGAGAAGCAGCAGAGUCAAGAGGUCAUUUCUGAUCUUGUGGACUGGAAGUUCUUAGUUGCACAGUUAGUCGUAACCUCUGAACAAUGGAGUCGUGGGCAAGACUUGGCUAUGUGGCCUAUUUGAUCACGAAAUUGGCAUUUCGGUUGAUAACGCAUUUGAGUGUAUCGAUUGGUUGAAGACUUAUGAUUGUCUUUGAAUGGACCGACCUUGAGGGAUUUUAUUGUGGCCUGGAGACAGAGAUUACACAUGAUUUCAAUGGAAAAACCAUCACAGAUUACUACUGAGGGAAAUAUAUACAAGAACAUAACCUAUUUAUUACAUAUGGAUGUUUGCUAUAAUUUUGCAAGAAUAUAAUUUGCAAUGAAUGAAAAGAUUCGUACUAGCUGA